rnacentral:lncRNA from 1 species
UUUUUCUUUUUUAAAUCUUGCUAGAACACUCUCAAACCUAUAUUAUUCUAACCCAAAAGAUCGAAUAUUCUAAUCCUAUUAUUCGACUCUCAUUUUUACACACAUAUGAGAGAUUGAAUCUACUUGGCCAUAAUUAUAUUACUAGGGCAAACAUAUGGCUAGUAUUUUACAAAUUAACUUGGGUUAUAAGGCAUCUUUGUAGAAUACUGUCGAAGAUAAGACGUCAUAAAUACUGACACGUAACACAAGACACGACACGAUUUGGACAUAAUUACUCGACAGUCUUCAAAAAAAUAGGACACGAACACAAUACAAAUAAUGUUAAUAAAAUAUAAUAAUAUUAUUAAUGUAAUAAUAUAUAUAUUUAUUAUAUAUACCAUAUUAGUUUUAGCAAAAUAUUAUUAUAUUUUUUAUAUGAAUGAAAAUUAAUAAAAUUUUCAUUGAUAGAUCAUAUAUUUUAAGAAAAAAAUUUUCCUUCAUAUAUAAUAUAUUGAAUUGAGCUCCUAUGCUUUUAAAAGUACCAAGUCAUUAGUGCUUGUAAGUUUUUAGCCCUUGGAUUAAGGGAUGUGCGGUUGAGAUGAUGUGGGCUCUCUAGGGUUGAGUGAGUGGUUGGUUGAAUAGUAUAAUCUAACGGGUGAAAAUGAUCAAAGACGUAGAUCUAACGGUAAAAAAUUUACAAGUACCAAAUAUUUGGUACUUUUACAAGCACCAUAGCCGGACUCAUAAUAUAUUUAUAUAUUGUCAAAAAAAUUAUAUAUAUAUUUAUUAAAAAGUUAAUAUAUUUAUAAUCUUACGUUAUAUAUGUAUAAAAAAAGUAAAAUCAAAAUAUGCAUGCAUAUUUUUUUAAUUGUAUGCACUACAGAUCAACAUUAAACCCGCGUCCAAGAUACAGACACGCGAGUUUUAUAAAAGUGUCCGUGAUACAUAGGCCGAGAGCCACAGGCUCGAGUCCCAAAUAAGAAGGCACACAGUAAAAAUUCUCUGUAAAAUUUCUACAGAUAUUUGCAGAAAGCCCUAAUUCUAAAAAUAAAAAGUCUUAGGUAGACUUUUGGGUGCAGAAGUGGGUUGUGAUGUGCUGUCGGUUACUUUUUCAUGUAAAUUCUGAUUUUUUUUUUUUUUUUUUUUUUUUUUUUUUUUUUUUUUUUUUAAUUUUUUUUUUUCUCUCUUUCCCCAUUUUCCAUAUUUGUUCCCAUUGUUGAUCAGAAACCGAGAAAACGAAUCCCCAAUUUCUCAAAUUUUUUUUCUCAUUUUUCUCGUUUUCUCAUUUUCUUUUCCCACUGAAUAAAAACCCUCGCACUCUUCUCCUUCUCCUUCUCCUCCUCUUCUCCCUUGUUUCAUUCCUCUUUCGGGACCCCUCUUCAG